UACGUAGGGUGCGAGCGUUAAUCGGAAUUACUGGGCGUAAAGCGUGCGUAGGCGGUUCGCUGUGUCCGAUGUGAAAGCCCCGGGCGUAACCUGGGAAUGGCAUUGGAAACUGGCGGGCUUGAGUGCGGCAGAGGGGGGUGGAAUUCCGCGUGUAGCAGUGAAAUGCGUAGAGAUGCGGAGGAACACCGAUGGCGAAGGCAGCCCCCUGGGUCGACACUGACGCUCAGGCACGAAAGCGUGGGGAGCAAACAGG
rnacentral:rRNA from 1 species